UGGGGAAUAUUGGGCAAUGGGCGCAAGCCUGACCCAGCAACGCCGCGUGAAGGAGAAGGCUUUCGGGUUGUAAACUUCUUUUGUCAGGGACGAAACAAAUGACGGUACCUGACGAAUAAGCCACGGCUAACUACGUGCCAGCAGCCGCGGUAAUACGUAGGUGGCAAGCGUUAUCCGGAUUUACUGGGUGUAAAGGGCGUGUAGGCGGGAGUGCAAGUCAGAUGUGAAAAUUAUGGGCUCAACCCAUAACCUGCAUUUGAAACUGUACUUCUUGAGUACUGGAGAGGCAGGCGGAAUUCCGUGUGUAGCGGUGAAAUGCGUAGAUAUACGGAGGAACACCAGUGGCGAAGGCGGCCUGCUGGACAGCAACUGACGCUGAGGCGCGAAAGCGUGGGGAGCAAACAGGGAUUA
rnacentral:rRNA from 1 species